AAGCCAGCCAUUCUACUUACCUGAAUGUGUUUCUGCACGAAUUUUUUUAAAAGCUGGCAAUAAUAGUAAAGCAAUAUUAUGAGCCUUACGAAUAAUUGAGGUCAUUAAGGUCGCUGAAAGUAGCCACAGUU